rnacentral:tRNA from 2 species
UGCCCGUUCGUCCAACUGGCAGGACGCCGCGCUCUGGACGCGGAAACCGAGGUUCGAACCCUCGACGGGCAGCCA